rnacentral:misc_RNA from 1 species
AACGCACGAGACCUGCGGACCUGCGGAGGGAUCAUUACCGAGUUUACAACUCCCAAACCCAUGUGAACAUACCUAUUGUUGCUUCGGCGGGAUUGCCCCGGGCGCCUCGUGUGCCCCGGAUCAGGCGCCCGCCUAGGAAACUUAACUCUUGUUUUAUUUUGGAAUCUUCUGAGUAGUUUUUACAAAUAAAUAAAAACUUUCAACAAUGGAUCUCU